UGGGAUAUGCACUAAGGAGGGCACCUAGGCCAUGGAUAGUGCCUCUGCAGUGCAGCGCCGAGAUGCCUGAGCAAAGUGUCGUCCUAGAUGUGUUUCCAGAGGUUAUGAUAGGAUUCCCUUUCCUUUUCCAGUCUUCAGCAUGCCACAUGGAUAGCCAAACGGUGCAUCCCUGGUAGCACAUCCAGGACUUUCACUCCAGAACCCUAUGGGAGAGGCUUGGCGCUCAUCGGGCAUUUGCUGCCAUAGGCUCCAAUGACCUCCGUUAUCUGAGACUCCCAGGUGGAGAAUCAUCUCCCCCGCCUUCCCUAAUGGGGGCUAACCUUGCAUGCAUUAAAACAGCUUGUAUGAGAGCUUGAAGUGCCAGGCGUUAUUCUUCACCCCUAUCCCACUUGGCUCUUUUCUUGCAUAGGUUAUAUAGAGGUCUGGCUAGGGUGCUGUACUCCGGGAUGUGUAAUCUCCAAAAAUUUAAGAUACCUAGUAUGCUUUGCAGUUCCUUUACAUUUUGGGGUGGGCUAGCAUUUGCCAUUCGAUCAAUUUCUGAUUGGGGAAUUUGAUUCCCUUCUGCUGACCAGAUGACCCCCAGAAAUUGGCAUUUGGUAUCAGGGGCCUGGGUCUUGGAGUCGUUGAUAAUAAAUCUAGCGUUUUUGAUGGCAUUUAUUAGAUCUUGGAGGCAUGCCUUAACUGCCUCACGAGUUUUCCCCCCCACCAUGACAUCAUCAAUAUAGUGGUAGCAGUGGGUGUUAGGAUGCUGCGCUUCCAUGUUUUUCAUGAUCGGUGCCAGCGUGCAGUGCGCAUAGGUGGGGCUGUGACACCACCCCUGGGGAAGAACACAGAAUUGAAACUCUUCCCCACCCCAAGUAAAAGCAAAAUAUUUCCUGGAUUCUGGGUCAAUGGGAAUAGAGAAGAACAUGUCUUUGAGAUCAAUACAAGCCAUCCAUGACGGGGCAUCAGUUCGGAUGCGGCUGCAUACGUCGGAUAUGCUGGGCACGGACGUGUGGAUGGGGUUGGUGUGUGCAUUCAGGCCUCUGAAAUCGACCGUCAUUUGCCAUCGUCCAUCAGGUUUCCAAACUGGCCAUACAGGGCUGUUAGCCGCAGAAUGACAUCACUCAAUUGUCCCGUCUUCCAGGAGCUGUCGAAUCAACUCGGUGAUGGGUUUAGUGGCUGUGGGAGGGGUUCGAUAUUGCAGGAGAUGAACCAUUUGCAUUUGUGGCAGAGAUAGAGGUGGAAGGUUACAAGUAGCUAUAUUGCACUGGGCUUCUAGACCAUCUGGGGCAGGAAAAUUUGCCAUGUUUUGUUCAAAAACCCACAUCUCAUGGCCUAUCCGAAAUCUCUGGCCUCAAAUAGUGGGAAGACCCAGUAGGCUCAGGCCUCCGGGAAGAACUACCACAGGCAUGGAAUAAAUGGAGCUACUUCCUGGGACCUGGAGCUUGGCUUGUACUAAAGUUCCUUGUUUCUUACUUCUGCCUACUCCUUGCAAAUGGAAAGGGGUGCCUCUUGCCUCGGGGAAGUCUUUUUUGUCUAAAAUGGUUACUUGUGCCCCUGUAUCGAGUAACAUCCUAACCGUCUUUAAGACACCUCCCACUGAAACCCUCAUGUCGAGAUGGACUAACGUAGAGGGGGCCUUUGGUUGCAAUCCGCCCCCUUUCACCGCCAGCGCGAUCACCUGACACUUGCGAGGAGGUCAGCAAGAACCUUCAGACUGUUGGGGAAGGUGAUGAAAUGGAAGGGCCA